rnacentral:rRNA from 1 species
GUUCAGAACGUCGUGAGACAGUUCGGUCCCUAUCCGUCGUGGGCGUAGGAAAUUUGAGAGGAGCUGUCCUUAGUACGAGAGGACCGGGAUGGACAUACCUCUGGUGUACCAGUUGUCGUGCCAACGGCAUAGCUGGGUAGCUAUGUGUGGACGGGAUAAGUGCUGAAAGCAUCUAAGCAUGAAGCCCCCCUCAAGAUGAGAUUUCCCAACUUCGGUUAUAAGAUCCCUCAAAGAUGAUGAGGUUAAUAGGUUCGAGGUGGAAGCAUGGUGACAUGUGGAGCUGACGAAUACUAAUCGAUCGAAGACUUAAUCAAAA